GAUGAACGCUGGCGGCGUGCCUAAUACAUGCAAGUCGAGCGAACAGACGAGGAGCUUGCUCCUCUGACGUUAGCGGCGGACGGGUGAGUAACACGUUGAUAACCUACCUAUAAGACUGGGAUAACUUCGGGAAACCGGAGCUAAUACCGGAUAAUAUAUUGAACCGCAUGGUUCAAUAGUGAAAGACGGUUUUGCUGUCACUUAUAGAUGGAUCCGCGCCGCAUUAGCUAGUUGGUAAGGUAACGGCUUACCAAGGCAACGAUGCGUAUCCGACCUGAGAGGGUGAUAGGCCACACUGGAAAUGAGACACGGUCCAGACUCCUACGGGAGGCAGCAGUAGGGAAUCUUCCGCAAUGGGCGAAAGCCUGACGGAGCAACGCCGCGUGAGUGAUGAAGGUCUUCGGAUCGUAAAACUCUGUUAUUAGGGAAGAACAAAUGUGUAAGUAACUAUGCACGUCUUGACGGUACCUAAUCAGAAAGACACGGCUAACUACGUG
rnacentral:rRNA from 1 species